rnacentral:rRNA from 1 species
AGAGUUUGAUCCUGGCUCAGGACGAACGCUGGCGGCGCGCCUAACACAUGCAAGUCGAACGAGCGAGAGAGAGCUUGCUUACUUGAGCGAGUGGCGAACGGGUGAGUAACGCGUGAGGAACCUGCCUCAAAGAGGGGGACAACAGUUGGAAACGACUGCUAAUACCGCAUAAGCCCACGGCUCGGCAUCGAGCAGAGGGAAAAGGAGCAAUCCGCUUUGAGAUGGCCUCGCGUCUGAUUAGCUAGUUGGUGAGGUAAUGGCCCACCAAGGCGACGAUUGGUAGCCGGACUGAGAGGUUGAACGGCCACAUUGGGACUGAGACACGGCCCAAACUCCUACGGGAGGCAGCAGUGGGGAAUAUUGCACAAUGGGGGAAACCCUGAUGCAGCGACGCCGCGUGAGUGAUGAAGUAUUUCGGUAUGUAAAGCUCUAUCAGCAGGGAAGAUAAUGACGGUACCUGACUAAGAAGCACCGGCUAAAUACGUGCCAGCAGCCGCGGUAAUACGUAUGGUGCAAGCGUUAUCCGGAUUUACUGGGUGUAAAGGGUGCGUAGGUGGUGAGACAAGUCUGAAGUGAAAAUCCGGGGCUUAACCCCGGAACUGCUUUGGAAACUGCCUGACUAGAGUACAGGAGAGGUAAGUGGAAUUCCUAGUGUAGCGGUGAAAUGCGUAGAUAUUAGGAGGAACACCAGUGGCGAAGGCGACUUACUGGACUGCUACUGACACUGAGGCACGAAAGCAUGGGUAGCAAACAGGAUUAGAUACCCUGGUAGUCCAUGCCGUAAACGAUGAUUACUAGGUGUUGGGGGAUUGACCCCCUCAGUGCCGCAGUUAACACAAUAAGUAAUCCACCUGGGGAGUACGACCGCAAGGUUGAAACUCAAAGGAAUUGACGGGGGCCCGCACAAGCAGUGGAGUAUGUGGUUUAAUUCGAAGCAACGCGAAGAACCUUACCAGGUCUUGACAUCCGAUGCAUAGCACAGAGAUGUGUGAAAUCCUUCGGGACAUCGAGACAGGUGGUGCAUGGUUGUCGUCAGCUCGUGUCGUGAGAUGUUGGGUUAAGUCCCGCAACGAGCGCAACCCUUAUCUUUAGUAGCCAGCAAUUAGGAUGGGCACUCUAGAGAGACUGCCAGGGAUAACCUGGAGGAAGGUGGGGAUGACGUCAAAUCAUCAUGCCCCUUAUGGGCAGGGCUACACACGUGCUACAAUGGCGUAAACAAAGGGAAGCAGAGUCGUGAGGCCGAGCAAAUCUCAAAAAUAACGUCUCAGUUCGGAUUGUAGUCUGCAACUCGACUACAUGAAGCUGGAAUCGCUAGUAAUCGCGAAUCAGAAUGUCGCGGUGAAUACGUUCCCGGGUCUUGCACUCACCGCCCGUCA